UUAAUAUAUAUAUAUAUGAGUUGGGCUCCUUGGAGUCUUUAUUAUUUGGAGUACUUGGAGACCCUCCUGAGAACCAUCAGAUCUAAACAAAACUGUACGGCAGAGAUGGGUGACAGGUGUAAUUUUUUUUUUUAAAUCUAAAACUACCGUAUAAAGUAGUAAGCAUACGGUCCUGUAUACAAUCGUGUGUCUAUCAAAGUGUCAUCCCGCAUAAAUAGGAAUCCAAGUAACAGUUACAUGUACUUUGUUCCCCUAAACUUACUCUUCAAAAUCAAAACCGAAGAUGGCUGAAGAUAAGCAUUGACGACAAGCACGAUUCUCGACGACAGCGGCACCCUCUUGAAAAGGAGCCACAACUCCGAUAUUUUUGAAAACCCUAGUGAUGAGUUCAGGAAACUGCUGCGCAAGGAACGCAAGGGACAGUUGAAGAUGCUAUCGACCAGCACUUUCAAAAAGAUAAAUACAUGAGGGACUUCCGUAAGAAUCUGGAUGAUAUGAAGAGUGCAUACGAAAGAUGUUUAAAUAACUUUGAGGUGGUAUUAGCCUUGUACCCGGGUAAUGCAGAGCUUGCUAAACUACGGGACGAAAAUCGCAAAUUUUUUCAGCUAUUUGAGGAAACAAAUCCACUGUCAAAGAUGAUGUUGGGAGGGACAAGGAAGGUGAGGGGCAAUGCAGUGGAGGAACAGGGGGACGAUUGCAGCUUCGCUCCAAGCUUCUCCUUGGGACUCUGCUUGGAUGGAGCACCAGCCUAAGAACG